UCAUGCGGCUGAACAUGCAGGAGCAAUCAUUUUUGCUUUCAAGAACAAGCUGGACAUUUCCUUAGGUGUUGCAUUGGGCUCUUCCACUCAAAUUGCCAUGUUUGUGGUUCCACUCUGUGUUACUGUUUCUUGGGGAAUGGGUGUGAAUAUGGACCUAAACUUCAACCUCCUUGAGACAGGUUCUCUUGCUGUGGCAACUAUAGUGACAUCGUUCACUUUACAG